GUGGCUUUGGAGAGAAGAAUGAAAGACAAAGAGAUGGAAGAUGGCAACAUCUCUUUCCUCAUCUGCCCACAGAAAGGCUGGUGAUGAUAGGCUAGAUGGGGAAAAGAAGAUAUGAUGGCUUUGCCAGAACUCAGCCAAGACCGACCCCACUUGCGUCCCUGCAGCAGCCUCAAGGAGGAACCAAGAAACAGAGGCCUUCCAGCCGCCGGAACCAGUCGCCGCCACCCUCGCUCCCCGCUGGCAGCUGACAGCCGGCAGCCAGCGGCGGCCAAGCGACCUCGCUCUGUGCACGGUGAGUCAUUUCCGAUUCGGUUGAUUUUUGUCCCUCAGCGCGUGCCCUUGCUUCCUGUCCCCCUGUUCCUGGACCCCGGCCUGGCAGUCGCUCUCCUCUCACUCAGCGUCGCGGCCUGUGGCCCUAGAGGCAGCCGUGCAACGAUGAACCCCAGCACCCCCAGGUACCCCAUGGCCUCGCUGUACAUAGGAGACCUGCACCCCGAUGUGACCGAAGAGAUGCCCCAUGAGAAAUUCAGCCCGGGCCCAUCUGCGCCAUCUGGGUCUGCAGGGACCUGAUCACCCGCCGCUCCCUGAGCUACGCCUAAGUGAGCUUCCUUCAGAGCGUGCUCUGGCCGCCAUGAACUUUGAUGUUAUAAAGAGCAAGCCAGUACAUGUCCUGUGGUCUCAGUGCGAUACAUCACUGCACAAAAGUGGAAUAGGCAACGUAUUCAUUUAGAAUCAGGACAAAUUCGUUUAGAAAGCACUGUGUGAUGCAUUUUCUGCUUCUGGUAACAUCUUUUCCUGUAAGGUAGUUUGUGAUGAAAAUGGUUCCAAGGACUGUGGAUCCGUACAUUUUGAGACACAAGAAGCAGCUGAAGGAGCUAUUGAAAAAGUGGAUGGCAUGAUCCUAAAUGGUUUCGACAUAUUUGUUGGACGGUUUUUAGUCUCCUAAAGAAAAAGAAGCAGAACUUGGAGCCCUAGCCCCAAGUUCAAGGUUGGACCUGCCUCAAGUAUGAAAGUAAUGACUGAUGAAGGUGGAAAAUCCAAAGGAUUUGAAUUUGUAAGCUUUGAAAGGAAUGAAGAUGCACAGACAGCUAUGGAUGAGAUAAAUGGAGAGGAGUUCAGUGGAAAUUAAAUAUAUGUUGGACAAGCUCAAAAACAGUGGAAGGGCAGACAGAACUUAAGUGCAAAUUUGAACAGAUGAAGCAAGAUAGAGUCACCAGAUACCAGAGUGCUAACGUUUAUGUGAAAAAUCUUGGUGAGAGUAUUGAGGAUGAACGCCUCCAGAAAGUUUUCUCCAUCUGGUAUUGUCACUAGUGCAAAUGUUAUAAUGGAGAGUGGUUGCAGCAAAGGGUUUGGUUUUGUGUGUUUCUCCUCUUCAGAAGCCACCAAAGCAGUUACAGCAAUGAACAGUAAAACUGUGCCAGCAAGCCAUUGUAUGUAGCUUUAGCUAAGAACAAAAAAGAGCGCCUAGCUCACCUCACUUACCAAUAUAUGCAGAAGAUGGCAAGUGUAUGAGCUGUCCCCUACCCUAUAAUCAGCUCCUAUCAGCCAGCACCUUCUUUAGGUUACUUCGUGGCAGCGGUCCCACAGACUCAGAAUCGUGCUGCAUACUUCCUCCUGGCCAAAUUUCUCAACUAAGACCUCCCUGGGCUGCUCAGAGUGUCACACCUCAUCCUCAAUUAUGACCAAGUCCUCCAUGGGCUACUCAGACUGUCAGACCUCACCCAUUCCAAAAUAUGCCUUGUGCUAUCUGCUCAGCUGCUCCUGACCACCAUUUAGUACUCUGAGACCAGCUUCUUCAUAGGUUCCACCAAUCAUGUCCACACAGUGUGUUGCUAACUCAUCAAUACAGACAAUGUGUCCAUGUCCUGAGCUGUUACUGCUGCCUCCAUUCCUGCUGUCCACAUCAUUCCACAGUACAAAUAUGUUGCAGGAAUUUGCAAUCUUCAACAACAUCUUAAUGCACAUCCACAGAUUACCAGGCAGCAGCCUGCUGUUCAUGUCCAAGUUCAGAAAUUUUUGACUGCUUCCAUGUUGGCAUCUGCCCCUCUUCAACAGCAGAAACAGAUGUUGGGUGAAUGACUGUUACCUCUUAUUCAAGCCACGCACCCUACUCGUGCUGGUAAAAUUACUCUUGCUGUUGGAGCUUGAUCAUUCAGAACUUCUUCAUAUGCUUGAGUCUCCAGAGUCUCUCUGUUGUCAUGAUGAAGCACACUGUACUACAUGCCUACCAUGUUAAAGGGGCUUCAAAAAGCAGUUAACAGUGUUACUGGUGUGUCAACUGCUUAAAAUUGAUCAAGGACCAUGGGGGGGAAAAAUGUGUUUCAACAGAAAAAAAUAUCUGAACAUCAAAAACUAAAAUAUUAUGGAAAAGAUAUAAAAUAUAAACAAAAAUAAGGAAAGCAAUCUUUGAACCUUAUGUGCUGAGCAAAUAUCAAGCUAGCAAACUCACUAGUUCUAGAUUACUUAUGAUUUGAAAACAACAAAAAAAGAAAACACAAAAAUACAGUAAAAUUUAAAAACAAAUUAAUGUUUUACGGACCCGCAGAAAAAGAAUUUUCAGAAAAGUACAAAAAUUUAAAGCAUUCCUUUAGUUUUGUAACUCUUAACUGUGGAAUAGGUCAGAAUGUCCGUUUUGUUUUAAAUAACAGACUUGGAAACUAAGCAAGGUAAUGUAACAUGGAUUAUGAAAUUCUUGGUUUAAUAAAACUUCCUUAAACGGUUAAAAAAAACCUGAAUAGGCUAAAAACAUUAGGACAUUAUGCCAUGUAUCUACACAUAAGAGGUGGUUGUGGCCAGGCACUGUUCCUCACAACUGUAAUCCCAGCACGUUGGGAGGCCAAGGCGGGCAGAUCACAAGGUCAGGAAUUCGAGACCAGCUUGGGCAACAUAAUGAAACCCUGUCUCUACUAACUAAAAAUACAAAAGAUUAGCCCAGUGUGUUGGUGGGCACUUGUAAUCCCAACUACUCAGGAGGCUGAGGCAGGAGAAUCACUUGAAUUCAGGAGGUGGAGGUUGCAGUGAGCCAAGAGGGCGCCAUUGCGCUCCAGCCUGGGCAACAGUAUGAGACUCCGUCUUUAAAAAAAAAAAAAAAGGUGGAUGUGUAUGCAUUAAUACUAAUAUGUGAAUCAAAUAAUUAGUCCAUUUUUUUCCAAAGUGGUUGCUCAUUUAACUUAAUUCAACCAUUUUGUUUUUCAAACCUAAAUGGGAGUAUAAACACAAUCUGACUCUUAAACAGGUUAAAUCUAAACUCUCCACACCUUUAUCUAGCAAUUCCUGUGUUGUAUAACUUUCUUCACUGCCACUUCACAGCUAUGAUUUUGUAAAGCAUUUAUUUUUACAGCAUUGGGAUUUGUAGCUAUUAGAAUAUCAAAGCUAUAGGAAUAUUGCAAAUAUUGCAAAUAUAAAAACAAAUUGAUUUCAAAGGGAAGUUUUUUCCAUAUUUAAAUGCCUGAAAAUAAGGCAUAUAAUAAAGAUCCUGGUAGACAGUUUACUCUGACAGUCUCACUAAAAAUGGCUAUAAAAUCUGAUGGAAACUCUGAAAAAUCACCUUUGAGGAUGAUACAGAAUUCAUUUUCUUUGUAAACUGACCCUGGAGAUGUGUCAAAGAUUUGUAGUAACCACAAUAGUCAAAGCCAUGACUGGGAAACUUCUUGGGCCUGAAAUAAAACAUUCAUUUUAGUGAUUCUUAUUUAAUGUGGUGAGGUGAUAUAGUCUAUCAAUUUUUCUUUAGGUAUCCCUAUUAAUAUCCACUUCUAAAUUUUCAAAAGCAUAACUAAACAAUGCAAAAAAAAAAAAAUUGUGAUCCCCAGAGUAGCACAAGGGAACAGCAAAGACCUCUCAGUCAUGAAAGAAGGAAACACACGGGUCAAUUUUUUUCAAUGCUUAAAAAGAAUCCAUCUCAACCAUGUCAAUAGUCCAUCUGAUUAGGUUUUCUCCUAACGUAAGCUAAAGAACAGGUUAUUCUCACACCUCAGCAAGGAUAUAAGGUAUUUGAAGAUGAGCCCUGUAAGAUAAAAAUGUCAAUAAUCAUUUCUUGUAGUAAGAUGCAGCCUUUUGCAGUCCAAUAAUUCAAUUAGGAAAAUGGAGUACACUACUCAGGUUUUUUAAACUUCUUUUGUUACAAGUUUUUAA
rnacentral:lncRNA from 1 species